GACGAACGCUGGCGGCGUGCCUAAUACAUGCGGGUAGAACGCUGAAGGAGGAGCUUGCUUCUCUGGAUGAGUUGCGAACGGGUGAGUAACGCGUAGGUAACCUGCCUGGUAGCGGGGGAUAACUAUUGGAAACGAUAGCUAAUACCGCAUAAGAGUAGAUGUUGCAUGACAUUUGCUUAAAAGGUGCAAUUGCAUCACUACCAGAUGGACCUGCGUUGUAUUAGCUAGUUGGUGGGGUAACGGCUCACCAAGGCGACGAUACAUAGCCGACCUGAGAGGGUGAUCGGCCACACUGGGACUGAGACACGGCCCAGACUCCUACGGGAGGCAGCAGUAGGGAAUCUUCGGCAAUGGACGGAAGUCUGACCGAGCAACGCCGCGUGAGUGAAGAAGGUUUUCGGAUCGUAAAGCUCUGUUGUAAGAGAAGAACGAGUGUGAGAGUGGAAAGUUCACACUGUGACGGUAUCUUACCAGAAAGGGACGGCUAACUACGUG
rnacentral:rRNA from 1 species